AUGAAUGCGAGCAAUGCUGGGGUAAUCACCCCGCUUCCGCGUGCUUCAAAAAUAAGCCUCAGCCCUUUCGGGGGGGCAGGGGGUACUUCCUUAACAAUCCCAGAGGUGCCCCCGGUGCAUCCCGUCAAGGUCCCACCAAUCGCCAGUAACACUGAUCUAGGUUUGGCAUUCUCCCCUAUUCGCCUGCAGCCCCUCAAAGCCCUAUUGGAACAAUACCCAGAUAAAACCGCGGGGAAAUACCUCUGGGAGGGGUUUUCUACGGGAUUUAGGAUCCCGGUGGCUACCCCACCCAACUCCAGGGAGGCGGAUAACCAAAAAUCUGUUAGGGAACGGCCCGACAUAGUCAGAAAGAAAAUAGAGAAAGAAAUCAGGGCAGGCAGGGUUGCGGGUCCUUUUCUUGAACCGCCUUUCCAGGGGCUUCACCUUUCCCCGCUGGGCAUUGUGCCAAAGAAGGCCCCGGGGGAAUUCCGCAUGAUUCACAACCUCUCUUACCCGAGAGGGGGUUCUGUUAAUGAUGCGAUUCCUCAGGAGCUUUGUACAGUGAAAUACGCCUCCUUCGAUCAGGCUGUAAAAAUGAUCCGUCGAUUCGGUCAGGGGGCGUUCCUAGCAAAAUGCGACAUUGAGUCCGCCUUCCGCCUUCUUCCAGUUCACCCAGAUGACUUUAAAUGGCUGGGCUUUAAAUUUGACAGUGCGUAUUUCAUUGACAAGGCUAUGCCCAUGGGCUGCUCCGUUGCUUGUGCAGCCUUUGAAUCUUUCAGCACAUUCCUGGACUGGGCCCUACGCAACAGGACAGGGUCUUUUGGCGUAUCACACUAUCUUGACGAUUUUAUUUUGGCCGCAGACAGUAAAUUACGGUGCUCCACUAUGCUAAAGGCUUUCACAUCCCUAGCCGGCGAAUUAGGGGUACCCCUAGCCGCCGGCAAGACAGAGGGCCCAGCCACAUCCCUAGUCUAUCUGGGUAUCGAGUUGGACACCGUGGCCCAAACUUCCCGCUUACCCGCUGAAAAGUUGGUGGCGCUCAAGACAAUCAUACAACAGCUCUUGCCUCUAAAGAAAAUAACAUUGAGACAGAUCCAAUCCCUGCUAGGCCAUUUGAACUUCGCUUGCAGGGUUGUAGCCCCAGGGCGGCCAUUUUGCGGCCGUCUGGCUCGAUUGGCGGCGGGCCUCAGAGCCCCUCAACACAGGGUGCGCCUCUCCAAGCAGGUGAAAGCUGACCUGGGGGUGUGGUUACAAUUCCUAGAGAAGUACAACGGGAUUUCAUUAUGGCAGGAUACCCUCCUUCUUAAUGCCGACCUCCAAGUUCAAUCAGAUGCAGCAGGGUCCUCAGGUUUCGGUGUUUAUUUUCGCGGACAGUGGUGUGCCAAAAGGUGGCCCGCGGAGUGGCAAGGUCAGCCCAUCACCAGGGACCUUACCUUCUUGGAGUUCUUCCCGAUUGUCGUAGCGGUGCAUUUGUGGGCGGAUCAAUUUCGUAAUCGCAGGGUUUGUUUUAACACCGACAAUCAAGCAGUGGUAGCGGUCCUCGCUAGGCAAUCUGCACGGUCCACCAGGGUGGGUAACCUAUUGCGCGCCUUUGUCCUUCUGUGUUUAGAACAGAAUAUUUACUUUUCGGCCAAAUUCGUGCCUGGCAUUAAUAAUGACAUCGCGGACGCUUUAUCUCGUUUUCAGAUGGAGCGCUUCCGCUCAUUAGCGCCAGAAGCGGACCAAUCAUCGAUGCCUUUCCCGGAGCAUCUCUGGAGGAUUGGGAGCGAGAUAUAA
ensembl:lncRNA